rnacentral:rRNA from 1 species
UACGGAGGGGACUAGCGUUGUUCGGAAUUACUGGGCGUAAAGCGCACGUAGGCGGAUUUGUAAGUCAGGGGUGAAAUCCCGGGGCUCAACCUCGGAACUGCCUUUGAUACUGCAAAUCUCGAGUCCGGAAGAGGUGAGUGGAAUUCCUAGUGUAGAGGUGAAAUUCGUAGAUAUUAGGAAGAACACCAAUGGCGAAGGCAGUUCUCUGGGACGGUACUGACGCUGAGACGCGAAAGCGUGGGGAGCGAACAGG